rnacentral:lncRNA from 1 species
AUAAGGAAUGCGAUAUGGAGCUUGAUAUAUUGGAGGUGAAUCACCUCAUAUCGAUUUGCUUGUCAUUUAAUCUCUGCCCACCUAAGGUACUACAGAGUUAUCAAAGCCUCGGCAUAAUCAUAGCCUGCCACUUGGGUGCGGUCUCGCCUGGCCACCUCUGGGUCCACAGAGUGCAGGGGACACGAAUGCAGCAGCCUCGCUCAGGGCUCUACCGACCCUAGGGGUAAGACCACCGCAUCUGAAUCCCAUGCACUAUUGUCACUAAAGUGACAAUAGUGCGCCGAGUACGCCUUAGUUCUCAAAGGAACCUAAGGCACAAAGAGACAAAGACUACUCAUCACCCCCAGUGAAAAGGCAUGGGGAUGAAAACCAAUCCUUUUCCCUCAAGAGGAAGGAAUAGAUCAUCACAGGACAGAUCUAGCCAUUAGCUGAUCUAUUAAAACC